GGCCGGAUGGCGCAAUGGUAGCGCGCAGCCCUCCUACUGACAGGUGGAAGGCUGAGGCUGAGGGUUCGAGUCCCUCUUCGGUCG